AGAAUUGGAGCGGCGGGUGUGCAAGAGCAAGAGGUCCAUGCUGGCUGGCCGACUCUUGGGAGCGCCUAUCAAUCAAUUAUAUAAUAAUGCAGAAUAAUUCAUGGCAGCAGGAACACGAACUAGUAAACAUCUCAUCACAACAAGUCUCAGGAGACAUCAGCCUCAGCACGCAACGGGCACAGGCCGCUGCAUAUGAUCUGGUUUAUCUGGGGAUUGUGAAAUCGUGAGGGACUGGAUCUGGAUCUGUUGCAGGUGUGCUGGCUGGAAGAGAGAGAGAUCUGAUAGGAGCGAUUUUAGAAGAAACAUCUGAGACUAAGUUGAUACGUCAAUGAAGCAUACUGAGAACUCUGAGCAGUAAAAUAUUCUUUUGGGGAACUUUUGUGUAUGUAAUCUUCUGCUUAUGACAGCUAGUA